UUAAACAUGUUAAACCGUUUCUGGAUCAUUUUGGCACUUAAUAAAGACACAUACCUUCUAUUUAGAUAUCAGAGAACAAUUUAACAUAUUGUAUCAAUGAAUUCUUAGGCACAUUUAAGCAAUUUAUGCAUUUUUGUCCCUGGCAAGAAGUGGGAGUGUUGCCUGGCAAUAGGAGAGUAGCGUCGCGGUGUUGCACGCGCUGCUUUAGUUAGACUUCAGCUGUUUUCUGUGAACUUUUGUUAGACAAAAAGCUCACAAUUCCAUCUCGAACACACACAUACAGCGCUCUCUGUAUGUUUUUUCUUUCAUCUUCGCUCGCGCUCGCCGCUCAUAUGUACAUUGCAUGCAUUUAUUUCGUCUAUUCGAAUGAAAUAUCUGAAAAAGCAAAUACAUUUACCCAGCCAUGGACAAAAGGGGACAAAAUAGACGGAUUACAGCAGCAGGGCCUUAUAAAGACUGCAAGGAGCCGCAGCAGGGGGGCAGAAGAGCCACAUGCGGCCCGAGAGCCACGGGUCGCCGAAGGAUACAGAAUUGUGAUUAAUGAUGGCAGAAAUGGCUCACAGUCUGUCUACCACAUCCAUGGGAGGGCGGCCACCAGGAUAAAAGUAUUGGAAUGCAACCGAAUGACAAAUUGGAAACAGAAGGCUGUCAAGUUAUAUGCUUAACAAUUAACAAUAUAUAUGCUGUAAAAAAUAUUGUUUUCUUAAUUAAAACUUUUUAUUGAAGUUUGCUGU